rnacentral:rRNA from 1 species
CUAAGGGUUGGUAGAGGAGCAUUCUUAGGGGAGCGAAGCAUUACCGGAAGGGGAUGUGGACCGCUAAGAAGAGAGAAUGCCGGAAUGAGUAGCGAGAGCAAGGUGAGAAUCCUUGCGGCCGAAUAUCCAAGGUUUCCAGAGUAAAGCUGAUCUGCUCUGGGUAAGUCGGGGCCUAAGGAGAGGCAGAGAUGCGUAUCCGAUGGACAGCAGGUUUAAGAUUCCUGCACCCCUUGUUAUCAGAACUGCGGGGACACGGGAAGGGAAGCAGAGCCGGGAAUGGAAAGCCCGGUGCAAGCGAAGGAGUCGCAGGGUUGGAAAAUCCGCCCUGCAUAAGACGAAGGCGUGAUGCGGAGCGAGAUGAAGUAGUGAAGCUGCGGCCCCUUCCUGUCGAGAAAAGCCGCUAUCGUGUAGCAAGGGCCCGUACCGUAAACCGACACAGGUGGAUGAGGAGAGGAUCCUAAGGCCGGCGGGAGAAGUGUUGUUAAGGAGCUCAGCAAAAUGACUCCGUAACUUCGGGAGAAGGAGUGCUGCGCAAGCAGCCGCAGAGAAAUGGUCCAAGCAACUGUUUAGCAAAAACACAGGUCUAUGCGAAACCGAAAGGUGAGGUAUAUGGGCUGACGCCUGCCCGGUGCUGGAAGGUUAAGGGGAGAGCUUAGCGCGAGCGAAGGUUUGAACUUAAGCCCCAGUAAACGGCGGCCGUAACGAUAACGGUCCUAAGGUAGCGAAAUUCCUUGUCGGGUAAGUUCCGACCCGCACGAAAGGCGUAAUGAUUUGGGCACUGUCUCAACAACACACCCGGUGAAAUUGAAAUACCAGUGAAGAUGCUGGUUACCCGUGCCAGGACGGAAAGACCCCAUGGAGCUUUACUCCAGCCUGAUACUGGGAUUCGGUAUUGCAUGUACAGGAUAGGUGGGAGGCUAAGAACUCAUGGCGCCAGCCGUGAGGGAGCCGAUGUUGGGAUACCACCCCUGCAGUACUGGGUUUCUAACCUGCGCCCGUGACCCGGGCGGGGGACAAUGUCAGGCGGGGAGUUUGACUGGGGCGGUCGCCUCCGAAAGGGUAUCGGAGGCGCUCAAAGGUCUCCUCAGGAUGGUUGGAAACCAUCCAGAGAGUGCAAAGGCAGAAGGAGGCUUGACUGCGACACCGACGGGUGGAGCAGGUACGAAAGUAGGACUUAGUGAUCCGGUGGCAUAAAGUGGGAUUGCCAUCGCUCAACGGAUAAAAGCUACCCUGGGAUAACAGGCUUAUCACUCCCAAGAGUUCACAUCGACGGAGUGGUUUGGCACCUCGAUGUCGGCUCAUCGCAUCCUGGAGCUGGAGCAGGUUCCAAGGGUUGGGCUGUUCGCCCAUUAAAGCGGUACGCGAGCUGGGUUCAGAACGUCGUGAGACAGUUCGGUCCCUAUCCGGCGCGGGCGCAGGAUAUCUGAGAGGAGCUGUCCUUAGUACGAGAGGACCGGGAUGGACCGUCCGCUGGUGGACCGGUUGUCAUGCCAAUGGCACGGCCGGGUAGCCAAGACGGGAAGGGAUAAACGCUGAAGGCAUCUAAGCGUGAAGCCCCCCUCAAGAUGAGAUAUCCAUACUCGAAAGAGUGAGAGACCCCUUAAAGACGAUGAGGUAGAUAGGGCAGGGAUGGAAGUGCAGCGAUGCAUGGAGUUGACUGUUACUAAUCGGUCGAAAGCUUGACCA